GGGAGAUCGGGCGGCGCCCCAAUCCCGGGCAGCGAGCCCCCCGCCCCAUUGGCCCCAUUGCUCUCGCCCCGCCUCGUCGCGGUGGGGCCGCCACCCUGGGCCCGCCCUGGCCCUGUCGUCUCACCCUCCCGCCCCAGGUGAGCGCUCACCUGGCGCCGCGCGCGCCAGAGGUCGCGGCGGCGGAACGUGAAGCCCCCCGGGUCCGGAGAGGCUGGGAGGAGGGUACGGGGCGGGGACGGAGGAGAUUCUGCCUCUCCGGGGUGGGGCGGAGGCAAGUGCAAUAGCUUCUCCGAGACAGAGACGGUGGAGGGUAGCAGAGACGCACCUGGAGUCGGUGGAAAACCCGGGUAUUGUCCGCCCUCCUGCCCAGCGAGAGCCGGUCUCUUCGCCGCAACCCCCGGACUCAGGGCAGAGCCGGAUCCUGACGCAGAACCGCUCUCUGGAAGCGAGGGAAACACAUGUUCAGUGGCUCGGGGGACUCUGUGGCCCUGCAAAUGGAGUCCCCAAGGGAACUCCUGGUCAGAGGGGAGAGAGGAAAGGGCACCCUGUCUUUACGCGGGAGAGUGGCUGUCACCGGCGAGGUGCGCAGCGUGGGCCUCCGUGGGCUUUUUACAAAAUGCCGCUGAUGUUCCCCAGCGCAGAAAUCCAGAGUGGACAGUGGAGCAGACAGAGCCCAGUGAGACGAGGAACCUACUUUCCAAGUCCCAUUAUGGCUGACUUCAUGCUACCAAUGUGGCAUCAUUUCUGAUCACUGGAGUUAAGAAGAGAUGUGCACAGUCAGCCCUACAGGCCAGCUGGAACUGGCUCCAGCAUAUUACUGGUAAGACUUUGAACCAUGAUCAUAGAAGCUAGAGGAUGACGGGCCUGAGCUGGACCAGUGUGUCAGAGAGAAGGAAGAGCCGGGAACUGGCAGAUAGACCCCACCAGGCCCCAGCCACAUCCCCUGGGCAGGUGAGGAGGGAGUGGGUUGGAUCAGGCUGCCCCAGCCGCUCCUCCUGUUCUCAUGCCUCUAAGCACACACAAGAAUGCUUGUGCAUGGAGAAGGCAGGGCAUGUUCUUCCAAAGUGACCCUCUUCAAAAUUUCAUGAAAGUUACAUGUUGAUGUCUGAUGGGUAAACCUAUGAAUCAAAGAGACUGGAGGAAGCACCAAAGACUCUAUGGAGACAUCAGUGGUUGGAGAGUGAGAAACAUGAGGAAAAUAUUGAGAUGGAUGCUCUUGAGCCCAUGGCAUGGCCCCACCCUUGGGCUCCUUCCUCCUGAUGUUAGAACUAUACCAGAUGUAUAUCUGCUGGGUGCCCCCUGCCCAGCUUGCCCAUGGAGGCUUCGGGUUCUGCUUCUGCCUUUUUGGCCAAUAAGGCUGCACAGAACUGCCCAGAUAAUAGCAC
rnacentral:lncRNA from 13 species